CACUAGUUGUGGGAACCUUCCACGGUUUCUGCGACGCAGCUAACGCAUUAAGUGCCCCGCCUGGGGAGUACGAUCGCAAGAUUAAAACUCAAAGGAAUUGACGGGGCCCCGCACAAGCAGCGGAGCAUGCGGCUUAAUUCGACGCAACGCGAAGAACCUUACCAAGGCUUGACAUAUAGGGAAAAGUGGCAGAGAUGUCAUGUCCGCAAGGGCCCUAUACAGGUGGUGCAUGGUUGUCGUCAGCUCGUGUCGUGAGAUGUUGGGUUAAGUCCCGCAACGAGCGCAACCCUCGUUCUGUGUUGCCAGCAUUUAGUUGGGGACUCACAGGAGACUGCCGGGGUUAACUCGGAGGAAGGUGGGGAUGACGUCAAAUCAUCAUGCCCCUUAUGUCUUGGGCUGCACGCAUGCUACAAUGGCCGGUACAGAGGGCUGCAAUACCGUAAGGUGGAGCGAAUCCCAAAAAGCCGGUCUCAGUUCGGAUUGAGGUCUGCAACUCGACCUCAUGAAGUUGGAGUUGCUAGUAAUCGUAGAUCAGCAUCGCUACGGUGAAUACGUUCCCGGGGCUUGUACACACCGCCCGUCACGUCACGAAAGUCGGUAACA
rnacentral:rRNA from 1 species